rnacentral:rRNA from 1 species
GACGAACGCUGGCGGCGUGCUUAACACAUGCAAGUCGAACGGAAAGGCCCUGCUUUUGUGGGGUGCUCGAGUGGCGAACGGGUGAGUAACACGUGAGUAACCUGCCCUUGACUUUGGGAUAACUUCAGGAAACUGGGGCUAAUACCGGAUAGGAGCUCCUGCUGCAUGGUGGGGGUUGGAAAGUUUCGGCGGUUGGGGAUGGACUCGCGGCUUAUCAGCUUGUUGGUGGGGUAGUGGCUUACCAAGGCUUUGACGGGUAGCCGGCCUGAGAGGGUGACCGGCCACAAUGGGACUGAGAUACGGCCCAGACUCCUACGGGAGGCAGCAGUGGGGAAUAUUGCACAAUGGGCGGAAGCCUGAUGCAGCAACGCCGCGUGCGGGAUGACGGCCUUCGGGUUGUAAACCGCUUUCGCCUGUGACGAAGCGUGAGUGACAGUAAUGGGUAAAAAAGCACCGGCUAACUACGUG